AACGAACGCUGGCGGCAUGCCUAACACAUGCAAGUCGAACGAGCCCUUCGGGGUUAGUGGCGCACGGGUGCGUAACGCGUGGGAAUCUGCCCUUGGGUUCGGAAUAGCAGUGAGAAAUUACUGCUAAUACCGGAUGAUGUCUUCGGACCAAAGAUUUAUCGCCCAAGGAUGAGCCCGCGUAGGAUUAGCUAGUUGGUGGGGUAAUGGCCUACCAAGGCGACGAUCCUUAGCUGGUCUGAGAGGAUGAUCAGCCACACUGGGACUGAGACACGGCCCAGACUCCUACGGGAGGCAGCAGUGGGGAAUAUUGGACAAUGGGCGAAAGCCUGAUCCAGCAAUGCCGCGUGAGUGAUGAAGGCCUUAGGGUUGUAAAGCUCUUUUACCCGGGAUGAUAAUGACAGUACCGGGAGAAUAAGCUCCGGCUAACUCCGUG
rnacentral:rRNA from 1 species